CUGGUGCCAGCAGCCGCGGUAAUUCCAGCUCCAAUAGCGUAUAUUAAAGUUGUUGCAGUUAAAAAGCUCGUAGUUGAAUUUCGGGACCAUCAUGUCGGUCGUGCCUCGGUACGUACUGGUAUUGUUGGUUUCUCCCUUCUGACGAACCAUGAUGUCAUUUAUUUGGUGUUGUGGGAAUCAGGACUGUUACUUUGAAAAAAUUAGAGUGUUUAAAGCAGGCUCACGCUUGAAUACAUUAGCAUGGAAUAAUGAAAUAGGACGUUUGAUUCUAUUUUGUUGGUUUCUAGGGAUCGACGUAAUGAUUAAUAGGGAUAGUUGGGGGGCAUUAGUAUUCAAUUGUCAGAGGUGAAAUUCUUGGAUUUAUUGAAGACUAACUACUGCGAAAGCAUUUGCCAAGGAUGUUUUCAUUAAUCAAGAACGAAAGUUAGGGGGAUCGAAGACGAUCAGAUACCGUCGUAGUCUUAACCAUAAACUAUGCCGACUAGGGAUCGGAUGAUGUUAAUUUUUUAAUGACUCAUUUCGGCGCCUUACG
rnacentral:rRNA from 1 species